GAUGAACGCUGGCGGCGUGCCUAAUACAUGCAAGUCGAGCGAACAGACGAGGAGCUUGCUCCUCUGACGUUAGCGGCGGACGGGUGAGUAACACGUGGAUAACCUACCUAUAAGACUGGGAUAACUUCGGGAAACCGGAGCUAAUACCGGAUAAUAUAUUGAACCGCAUGGUUCAAUAGUGAAAGACGGUUUUGCUGUCACUUAUAGAUGGAUCCGCGCCGCAUUAGCUAGUUGGUAAGGUAACGGCUUACCAAGGCGACGAUGCGUAGCCGACCUGAGAGGGUGAUCGGCCACACUGGAACUGAGACACGGUCCAGACUCCUACGGGAGGCAGCAGUAGGGAAUCUUCCGCAAUGGGCGGAAGCCUGACGGAGCAACGCCGCGUGAGUGAUGAAGGUCUUCGGAUCGUAAAACUCUGUUAUUAGGGAGGAACAAAUGUGUAAGUAACUAUGCACGUCUUGACGGUACCUAAUCAGAAAGCCACGGCUAACUACGUG
rnacentral:rRNA from 1 species